UACGUAGGGGGCGAGCGUUGUCCGGAUUCAUUGGGCGUAAAGCGCUUUAAGGCGGUUCGCUAAGUCGCGUGUGAAACCUCCAGGCUCAACCUGGAGACGCCACGCGAUACUGGCGUGACUAGAGUUCGGUAGGGGAUCACGGAAUUCCUGGUGUAGCGGUGAAAUGCGCAGAUAUCAGGAGGAACGCCGGUGGCGAAGGCGGUGAUCUGGGCCGACACUGACGCUGUAGAGCGAAAGCGUGGGGAGCGAACAGG
rnacentral:rRNA from 1 species